CUGCAGCACACUCCUCAUUUCUCGGAGGGACAGGCCGUUGCUGGGACCUAUCCUUCUGAGAAAUGCGGAGCACGCCCCGGAUCUCCCUCAGCCAGGCCCUUGCUGGAGGAAAGAUUUUCCUCCAGCAAGGGCCUGGCCGAGGAAAACCUGCGGCAUGCUCUUCGUUUCUCAGAGGGACAGGCUUUUGCUGGAGCUGGUCCCUCCGAGAAACGCGGAGCACGCCCGGAUCACUUCUUCCUCCCUCUCCUUCUCUCGAGCUCUCUUCGCUCGAGAGGAGAGGGAGGGGCGUCCCUGGCAGCACCUCGGAUAAUACGGAGGCUCGGUAACUGGAGCUCGGUUAACCAGAGCUCUACUGUAUAUAAAACAGACAUCAAACAAAGGACAUGAGUUUAAGAUAUAUACCCAUCUCAAGGCCAAAUGAUCCUGCAUAUGAACCAACUCAAGCUCAAAGUGUGGAUGUACUACAAUCCCACUAAAGAGGACUUUACACUAGCAUAAACACCAAAACUCCCAGAAGAGUCCCUUCUUACCCUGCAGGGCUGCAGCCUCAUCUUCUUCCUGCUUGAGCUCCUUCUGCUGGAGGCUCUGAGUGGCGUCUGAUGGAGUUUUCUCUGAUGCAGGGACAUUAGAAUGGACUUCCAUGCAAUUAUUUUGGGCCUGGAAGAGCACAGAGUAUUCCAGAAGUAGCAUGAAGAAAGUUCAAAAAUACCACAGACCUAUGUGCAGAAACUGCAUGGACUUUUUUUAAAAGGAUAACUCUGAGAUUGCAGCCUAGUUUGAAACAAAUGACAUACUCCCCCUCCCAUCAUUUUCAAUGUUAUAUCUGAAGGUGAACAAAUUUGAGUGGAGCAGAAACUGAUUUUACAGUGGAUAUGGAGGUGACAGCAGGAGAGGAAGAGCAGGUUGGAAAAGAGGCAGAGGGAGCGCAGUCUGGCUUAUCCCACCCAUCGGUCCCAUCUUUGAAGAAAGGCAGGAUCUAUGUUUAGUCUAUUAAUCAGUCCCAAUGUUAGUGAAACCAAGAGGUAAAGGCUCUCACCUGUUCUUCCUGCCUCUUGUCCUCUGCCCGACUCAGGAGGAAGCCUUCCGCCAGGGCCACCGCCUGGGAAGAGGUCUCUGCCCCACACUCUCGGACCCAUCUCCUCAUCUCUGGGGGCAGGAUGCUCAGGAACUGCUCCAGGAUCACCAGGUCCAGCAUCUCAGCCUUGGUGUGUUGCUCUGGCUUCAGCCACUGGUGGCAGAGAUCGUGGAGGCGGCUGCAAACCUCUCUGGGUCCCUCGCCCUCUCGGUAGGAGGACUGCCUGAAGCGCUGGCGCUGUAUGUGUAUGUUCAGGGAUGUCUGUGUAGUUCUUUUCCAGAAUUUCCCACUCCUCCUGGUGGCCUUACCUGCUUCUGGUCUAGGUGAGUUGGGUCUCUCCAUGUUGUAACCAUUGUCUGAUGGAGACUGUAUCCAAGAUGUUUUCCCUCCCUCUUCUUUCAAGGGAAGAAACUCUGGAAAAAAUGACUAAAGUUUACAAGGAGUUACACCAUCAAAUAACAUUUUAACAUUAUAGAUGAUACAGAACUACAGAAAAUAAAUAUGCAAACAAAUAACUGGAACUUUCUAUAAUUUGUGGUGGACUUGUCCAAAAGCUAAAGCAUUUUGGAUAAACAAUCCAUAGAGACAUGGAACCUAUACUAGGGUACAAAAUCCCACUAAAAGCAGAUUUUUUUCUAUGGGGAUUAUUAGACAAACAGACAUUGAAACAUCAAGAAAGAAUCUUUCUUUAUAUAACAACAGAAGUAAGAACUGAAUAUGCAAAACUAUAGAAACAACAAAACAUGCCAAUACCACAAAAUUGGAUUUUAAAAAGUUUUUGAAAUAGCCAAAAUGGACAAAUUAACUUUAGCUGCACAACAAAUGCACAUAAACUUCAAGAAGAAUGGAAACCCUUCAUUGAAUUUAUAAAGAACCAAAGGAAGUAGACAACAGGAUGAGUUGACUAAAAUAGUGUUAAUAGAAUAUACUUACAUUUUGUACUAUUUAUAAACUCUCUAUAUAAGAGACUUUGAAUAAUUGACCUAUCAGCACUCUGAUUAGCAUAUAAAAGGUUUUUUUCCUUUGUCCGGAGCAACUUGAGUCGCUUCUGGAGUGAGAGAAUUGGCCGUCUGCAAGGAUGUUGCCUAGGGGACGCCCUGAUGUUUUGAUUUUUUUACCAUCCUUGUGGGAGGUUUCUCUCAUGUCCCUGCAUUGAGCUGGAGCUGACAGAGGGAGCUCUCCCCGAGUGGGAUUUGAACCUGGCAGCUUUCAGGUCAGCAACCCAACCUUCAAGUCACGAGGCUUUAGUCCACUAUGCCAUUGGGGGUUCCUGUAUAUAAAAGGCUGCAAGCCUUGUUAUUUAGAUAUUUUAAAACUGUGCAUAUAUAUAUAUAUAUAUACACAUACAGUAGAGUCACUUAUCCAACGUUCGCUUAUCCAACGUUCUGGAUUAUCGAACGCAUUUUUGUAGUCAAUGUUUUCAAUACAUUGUGAUAUUUUGGUACUAAAUUCGUAAACACAGUAAUUACUACAUAGCAUCACUGCAUAUUGAACUACUUUUUCUGUCUAAUUUGUUGUAUAACAUGAUGUUUUGGUGCUUAAUUUGUAAAAUCAUAACUUAAUUUGAUGUUUGAUAGGCUUCUCCUUAAUCUCUCCUUAUUAUCCAACAUAUUUGCUUAUCCAACGUUCUGCCGGCCCGUUCAUGUUGGAUAUGUGAGACUCUACUGUACAUACAUAUACACAAAUCCAUGUUUCUGUAGUGUUUAAAGAAUAAAAGAUAACCAUGUAACAUAGUGAUUUCCCACCCACACAAUACUAAUUUGCUAACAAAUGGAAGUGAAUAUUUAGUUCUAUAUGGCAAUAGUUAUACAGUAGAGUCUCACUUAUCCAACACUCGCUUAUCCAACGUUCUGGAUUAUCCAACGCUUUUUUGUAGUCAAUAUUUUCAAUACAUCGUGAUAUUUUGGUGCCAAGUUCGUAAAUACAGUAAUUUCUACAUAGCAUUACUGUGUAUUGAACUACUUUUUCUGUGAGAUUUGUUGUAUAACAUGAUGUUUUGGUGCUUAAUUUGUAAAAGCAUAACCUAAUUUGAUGUUUAAUAAGCUUUUCCUUAAUCCCUCUUUAUUAUCCAAGAUAUUCGCUUAUCCAACGUUCUGCCGGCCCGUUUAUGUUGGAUAAGUGAGACUCUACUGUAAUUAGAUAAAAUACAUGUAAAGAACUGGAAAAGAUGACAGGAUGGAGACCUGAUAGCGUGGGAAGGCACAACUACCAGUUUUGAGGACAAGAGUGUGUUCUUUUCUGUUGCAGAGGACAUUUGGAACAUCCAAAACUUUAGACUGUGCAUAAAGUAAUAAGUGCUUGAGAUGAAGAUAUAGAUGUAGUAACUAUAACAAAUACAAGGCGCCUCUUCCCCGCUCCACCCCCUUCCUCUUCCUCAGAGACACAGAAGACACUUAUAUAGCAGGCAUAGGCCAACUUCGGCCCUCCAGGUGUUUUGGACUACAACUCCCACAAUUCCUAACAGCCUACCGGCUGUUAGGAAUUGUGGGAGUUGCAGUCCAAAACACCUGGAGGGCCGAAGUUUGCUCAUGCCUGUUAUAUAGUUCUGAUCUACUAAUCAGAGCUCUGCAACCCUCGUCCCCUUCUUUGAUCUCCUUUCUUCUUUGUGUGGAAAACAGCUCUUCCUUUGUAAAAGCGUAAUAAAAACUUAAGGGGGAAAAGAGGACCCAGGCAGGAAGGCGAGUGGGUUGGGAGGGGAAGGCCAUUGUUCCUCGGCCUGCCUCUCUCUCCUCAGAAGGAUCUCUAGUUGGAGAAUGACAGCCUGGCCGUCUGUGGUGGUGACCCCCAGUCCCACCUGCCUCAGGCCCCCUUUUCUCCAGGGCGGACGAGACUCCAGGCCUUUGAAGCUGGUUGUUUCUCUUUGCUCUCGGUCAGUGUGUGUCGGAAGGCCUACCUGUGAGGGAAACAGGACUGGGCCUACUUUGGCCUUCCCUCCAGGUGUUGUGGCCUCAGCCCCUCUUCGCCCCUUUGGAGAAGGUCUGGGAACAAGACUCACCGGAAGGAGAGGAAGGAGGAGGAAGAGGCCAAAGGAGCAAACUCUCUCUCCCAGACGGGCAAGGAAGGGUUAAGGGAAGGGAGUUUGGUUCCUAGAGGGACAGGAAAGGCGGGUCUAAGGAGGCCCACUUUCUUCCUGCCUCUCUGGGAACCAAACUCCCUCCCCUUAACCCUUCCUUGCCCAGCGUUACUCUAUAAGGAGGGGGAAAGAGCAUCUCUCAAAAGCCCUGGAACCAAAGGACGCAAAAUGAUGGCACAGAUAUAGCCAUGGAAUAAAUAUUACGUAUUCAUAGGAUGGUUAGUUAGAUGUACAGUAGAGUCUCACUUAUCCAACACUCGCUUGUCCAACGUUCUGGAUUAUCCAACGCAUUUUUGUAGUCAAUGUUUUCAAUAUAUUGUGAUAUUUUGGUGCUAAAUUCAUAAAUACAGUAAUUACAACAUAACAUGAUUGAACUACUUUUUCUGUCAAAUUUGUUGUAUAGCAUGAUGUUUUGGUGCUUAAUUUGUAAAAUCAUAAACUAAUUUGAUGUUUAAUAGGCUUUUCCUUAAUGCCACCUUAUUAUCCAACAUAUUCACUUAUCCAACGUUCUGCUGGCCCAUUUAUGUUGGAUAAGUGAGACUCUACUGUAUUCCCUCCCUGCCAAACCAUUGCUCACCAACCCCACUGAACAUUAAAGGCAACCAAUCAGUCCAGGGAUCAGAUCAGUCCAGGGCCUCCAUCCACAACAGAGAGAGACUGUCUCAGCCCUGGGACAAGUCUCUUGGCUCCCUUUUCCCAAGGAGGAGGAACACAGAAUUGGGAGGGAGACACAACAAAAGCACCCAACACAAGCAGACUCUUCACUGAGAAAUCCCCUGCUGCCAUAGCUUCUCUCCAAAGCACCCUUCUGCUAAGGCAGAGGAAUUUUUCAGAGGUUUGUUAGAAGGGUGCUACUGAUCUUCUUAUUUCAGUCUUGCACACGACUACUACAAAGGAGUGGCAAAAAUAGCAACCUGCCCAGCAACAAUACAACUGCAGUGAUGCUCCCAAACAAGUAGCAGACCCCUCCUGCCACCGAUCUAUGCAUGCCUUCUUCACAGGACUGAACUUUUUACGGAUUUAUCUUCCAACAAUGUUGUUACUGACCCAGAGUGCCACAACAUUAUAUAAAACACAGUACAAAAAUGUAUAUGCAUAGAACAAUAGCUUAUAAAAACAUGACAAGCGAGAUCCUUAAGAAAUCCAAGAGAACCAACGGGGACACACUCCCCGUCAAGUUCUCUACGUAGAUCAUCUACC